rnacentral:lncRNA from 1 species
AAUAUCGUAAAUAUGAACAUGAUACAUUGCAUAACAACGAAAGUUACUGUAGCAGUGAUGUAUCAGAUCAGUGAUAACACUAACAAAGAUAAAUUUAAUGUAUCAGAAAGUUAAAACGAAGGCAUUAUACAUAAAUUUAUGAAUCAAAAUCAAGUAGAUACAUAAAAAGUCUGAAUCUUGGGUAGAGAAGGGUGUUGAAACUAAGGCAUUAUAUAUUAAAUUAUGAAUCAAAAUAAAUUAGAUACAUUGAAAUAUGAAGCUUGGGUAGAGAAGAGUGUUUAGUAACCUAUUCUACUUCCCCCUUUUUUUUUGGAAUCUUUCUCAAUGGCUAAUUUAGAACUUGGAAUACAUCUUUCAUCGAUUUCGAAUCACAAACAUGAGGGAUGAGAUCUUCCUUUUGUAAACUUAAUUGGGUAAGCCCACUAUUAAACGAUGGAUCAAAAUCCAUAUGUAACUUUCCAUCGCCGUAUGAUAAACAACCGAUUCAUCUCUUCUCUUCUGUUCCUUUUGCUUCGUAUUAUUUGAUAAUUCUUUCUGAAGAUCGCCUAUACAUAUCUCAUCCAUAUAUAUAAGAAGUUUAUAGAUGAAAAAGCUAAAAAGAAUUUUAAAAAUCGAUAAUUGAUUAAUUAGAAAGAAAAAAGUGGACGAAGAAGAAGAUUGGAGAAUUGGAAAAGAAAAAAUAAAAGAUUUGAAAUAUGAAGAAGAAGAUUGGUGAGUUGGAAAAGAAAAAAGAAAGAUUUGAAAUUUAAAAAUGGAGUGAUGGAGAUAAUUGGUGAUACCAUGGAGUGAUUUUAGGCGUGAAAAAAGGGGAAAAAAUCGUGAGGGUGAUUGUUUAGAGCGAUGUAUCUGAAAAAGUGAA